AACGCGAAGAACCUUACCAGCUUUUGACAUGUCCUGGACGGAUCGUGGAGACACGGUCUUCUCUUCGGAGCCGGGAACACAGGUGCUGCAUGGCUGUCGUCAGCUCGUGUCGUGAGAUGUUGGGUUAAGUCCCGCAACGAGCGCAACCCUCGCCUUCAGUUGCCAUCAUUCGGUUGGGCACUCUGGAGGGACUGCCGGUGAUAAGCCGGAGGAAGGUGGGGAUGACGUCAAGUCCUCAUGGCCCUUACAGGCUGGGCUACACACGUGCUACAAUGGCGGUGACAGAGGGAGGCCAAGGCGCGAGCCCGAGCCAAUCUCGAAAAGCCGUCUCAGUUCGGAUUGCACUCUGCAACUCGAGUGCAUGAAGUUGGAAUCGCUAGUAAUCGCGGAUCAGCACGCCGCGGUGAAUACGUUCCCGGGCCUUGUACACACCGCAUAC
rnacentral:rRNA from 1 species